rnacentral:rRNA from 1 species
AACGUAGGACGCAAGCGUUAUCCGGAGUUACUGGGCGUAAAGCGUGCGCAGGCGGCUUUGCAAGACAGAUGUGAAAUCCCCGGGCUUAACCUGGGAACUGCAUUUGUGACUGCAUGGCUGGAGUGCGGCAGAGGGGGAUGGAAUUCCGCGUGUAGCAGUGAAAUGCGUAGAUAUGCGGAGGAACACCGAUGGCGAAGGCAAUCCCCUGGGCCUGCACUGACGCUCAUGCACGAAAGCGUGGGGAGCAAACGGG